rnacentral:lncRNA from 1 species
CUCUUCUUCAGGAAUGCCGCUGUGGCGUGCAGGUGGCGGGGUAGAGGAAACCACAUGAGAAAAAUUCUCUGGCCUGGUUCUCCCACCCAGCCUCCAAAACCACUUUCCCAGAAGAAAAGAUCGAGAGGCAGGGCUACAUUCAAAUAUAUCUUCCUUAUGUAAGGCGGAGACCUCUCAGAAGGAAAUAGGGGCAAUCUUAUAAUCUGAAAAAAAAAUUCAAGAAAACAAAACAAAAAUGGAACUGUUCCAUGCUAAGUGUCAGAGACCAUAUUUGGGGACAACUCAUGACCAGGAACAAGAUAAGGAUCUUUUGGAAUCUGAACAAACAAGUUACCUCCUGAAAACUGGCGUCGUUAAGACCAACGGCCAUAAACCAUAAUAGUUCUUCACAUCCUCUCCUGGUACAAACUGUCCUUAAUCACCACCCCCCCCCCCACCUCAAGCAUAUAUAUUCUUGCCCUGCACCUGCAAUAAAAGAGCCUUGACACUAUCA